UGGCGGCGUGCCUAAUACAUGCAAGUCGAGCGAACUGAUUAGAAGCUUGCUUCUAUGACGUUAGCGGCGGACGGGUGAGUAACACGUGGGCAACCUGCCUGUAAGACUGGGAUAACUUCGGGAAACCGAAGCUAAUACCGGAUAGGAUCUUCUCCUUCAUGGGAGAUGAUUGAAAGAUGGUUUCGGCUAUCACUUACAGAUGGGCCCGCGGUGCAUUAGCUAGUUGGUGAGGUAACGGCUCACCAAGGCAACGAUGCAUAGCCGACCUGAGAGGGUGAUCGGCCACACUGGGACUGAGACACGGCCCAGACUCCUACGGGAGGCAGCAGUAGGGAAUCUUCCGCAAUGGACGAAAGUCUGACGGAGCAACGCCGCGUGAGUGAUGAAGGCUUUCGGGUCGUAAAACUCUGUUGUUAGGGAAGAACAAGUACAAGAGUAACUGCUCGUACCUUGACGGUACCUAACCAGAAAGCCACGGCUAACUACGUGCCAGCAGCCGCGGUAAUACGUAGGUGGCAAGCGUUAUCCGGAAUUAUUGGGCGUAAAGCGCGCGCAGGCGGUUUCUUAAGUCUGAUGUGAAAGCCCACGGCUCAACCGUGGAGGGUCAUUGGAAACUGGGGAACUUGAGUGCAGAAGAGAAAAGCGGAAUUCCACGUGUAGCGGUGAAAUGCGUAAAGAUGU
rnacentral:rRNA from 1 species